rnacentral:rRNA from 1 species
ACCAGACUCCUACGGGAGGCAGCAGUGGGGAAUAUUGCACAAUGGGGGAAACCCUGAUGCAGCGACGCCGCGUGAGCGGUGAAGUAUUUCGGUAUGUAAAGCUCUAUCAACAGGGAAGAAGAUGACGGUACCUCUUGAAUAAGCCACGGCUAACUACGUGCCAGCAGCCGCGGUAAUACGUAGGUGGCAAGCGUUGUCCGGAUUUACUGGGUGUAAAGGGCGUGUAGCCGGGCCGGCAAGUCAGAUGUGAAAUCCCAAGGCUCAACCUUGGAACUGCAUUUGAAACUGUUGGUCUUGAGUAUCGGAGAGGCAGGCGGAAUUCCUAGUGUAGCGGUGAAAUGCGUAGAUAUUAGGAGGAACACCAGUGGCGAAGGCGGCCUGCUGGACGACAACUGACGGUGAGGCGCGAAAGCGUGGGGAGCAAACAGGAUUAGAUACCCUAGUA